rnacentral:rRNA from 1 species
UACGUAGGGUGCGAGCGUUAAUCGGAAUUACUGGGCGUAAAGCGUGCGCAGGCGGUUUUGUAAGCCAGAUGUGAAAGCCCCGGGCUCAACCUGGGAAUGGCAUUUGGGGACUGCAAGGCUGGAGUUUGGGCAGAGGAGACUGGAAUUCCUGGUGUAGCAGUGAAAUGCGUAGAUAUCAGGGAGGAAUACCGAUGGCGAAGGCAGGUCUCUGGGCUAUAACUGACGCUCAUGCACGAAAGCGUGGGGAGCGAAA